rnacentral:rRNA from 1 species
AUUGAACGCUGGCGGCAGGCCUAACACAUGCCAGUCGAGCGGAUGAAGGGAGCUUGCUCCUGGAUUCAGCGGCGGACGGGUGAGUAAUGCCUAGGAAUCUGCCUGGUAGUGGGGGAUAACGUCCGGAAACGGGCGCUAAUACCGCAUACGUCCUGAGGGAGAAAGUGGGGGAUCUUCGGACCUCACGCUAUCAGAUGAGCCUAGGUCGGAUUAGCUAGUUGGUGGGGUAAAGGCCUACCAAGGCGACGAUCCGUAACUGGUCUGAGAGGAUGAUCAGUCACACUGGAACUGAGACACGGUCCAGACUCCUACGGGAGGCAGCAGUGGGGAAUAUUGGACAAUGGGCGAAAGCCUGAUCCAGCCAUGCCGCGUGUAUGAAGAAGGUCUUCGGAUUGUAAAGCACUUUAAGUUGGGAGGAAGGGCAGUAAGUUAAUACCUUGCUGUUUUGACGUUACCAACAGAAUAAGCACCGGCUAACUUCGUG